GAUUAACGCUGGCGGCGUGCAUAACACAUGCAAGUCGAACGAAGUGGCGGACGGGUGAGUAACGCGUGAGUAACCUGCCUUAGAGAAGGGGAUAGCCUUUGGAAACGACGAAUAAUACCCUAUGGUCAUAGAUGGGCUCGCGUCUGAUUAGCUAGUUGGUGAGAUAACAGCUCACCAAGGCGACGUUCAGUAGCCGGGCUGAUAGGAUGAACGACCACAUUGAAACUGGGAAACGGUGCAAAGUCUACGGGAGGCAGCAGUGGGGAAUAUGGCACGAUGGGGGAAACACUGAUGCAGCGACGAUGAGGGACGAAGGAGGUAGUCGUAUCGGAAAGUUCUGUCCUAUGGGAAGCAGUACCAUAGAAGAAAGCUACGGCUAAAUACGUGCCAGCAGCCGCGGUAAUUC
rnacentral:rRNA from 1 species